UGAGGAAUAUUGCACAAUGGAGGAAACUCUGAUGCAGCCAUGCCGCGUGAGUGAAGAAGGCCUUAGGGUUGUAAAGCUCUUUCAAUGGUGAAGAUAAUGACGGUAGCCAUACAAGAAGCUCCGGCUAAAUUCGUGCCAGCAGCCGCGGUAAUACGAAUGGAGCAAGCGUUGUUCGGAAUCACUGGGCUUAAAGCGUAUGUAGGCGGAAACGAAAGUCAGGAGUGAAAUCCCGGGGCUCAACCCCGGAACUGCUCUUGAAACUUCGUUUCUAGAAUCCUGGAGAGGUUAGGAGAAUUCCGAGUGUAGAGGUGAAAUUCGCAGAUAUUCGGAGGAAUACCAGUGGCGUAGGCGCCUAACUGGACAGGUAUUGACGCUCAGAUACGAAAGCGUGGGGAGCAAACAGGAUUAGAUACCCCCGUAGUCC
rnacentral:rRNA from 1 species